AGUUUGUUGCCUCUGGAUAUACUGCAGGACAGAGCGAGCUGGGUAAGCCGGGAAGAUGGGGUGACGAGGUAAAGAAUUUAGAGGACAUGUACACAGAGAGAGAGAGGAUGUCCAUGGGAGCCACGGAGCAGCCACUACAGAGUGAAUAAAAUCAAACAGCAGGAAAGUAGACAAGGAACUGAGGAGUAGCAGCUGGGUGACAGUGGUUCCAGAGCUGCCGCGGAAGGGCAGGGGGUGGCACUGAGGAAUGCUGUAUGGAGCCUUCUGUUGGAUGCAACGUCAAGGCAAGGCGCUACAAGAAAUGGGAAGAGCCAUUACAUGUGAUCAAAGACAACUACAUGGCUGAAAGAAGCUUCUGGAUCAGCUGCGCUGCAGUUGCAAGCAUCAGUAGUGUGGGACUCAUCACAACCAAAUAUGUUCCUUACUGUACUAUUGUUUUUAUUUCCUUUUAACAUGAAAGCCUAUCUGUGUUAGUUAUGUUUUGGAAAUCACAUCAGAGAACAUCAGGUGGUUAUGUUUUGUUUUAACUAGGAAGAAGAAGCAUGUAAGCUCAAAUCAGUGUAAUAAAAGUGGAUCUAUUUUUUAGAUGGCAGUAUAGUUAUGGACACAUAAUAAUAAUAAAAACGUUACCAAUCCACAGGCAUAUGGGACAUAAGCACCUACAGUCAGAAUGGUACGUGUGCAGAAGGCAUAUCUAGAAAUUGCUCACGUUCUCUAAAAGAGUAUCUUAUGAAAAUUCAUUGCUUUCUUUUGAUAGCAAUCAGCAUUUGUUUAUUAGUCUUAAUAAUGACACCGAUUCUAAUAGUAAUCACUGUCUGUUUUGGUUGUCACAUGACCCAUUACAGAUAUUUUUCUUAAUUUUGUAUCGUUAACCAAAUACUUCAGAAAGGUGCUACUAAAGGAUGUUCUGCUUUCUUCAGAAGAGACCUUAUAUAAGGUAAUUGAAAAUCAAAUCCAGUGUAAGAACUGCAGAGCUUGCAUGCAUUUACAGCAAUUAAAAGGGUAAUUCUUG
rnacentral:lncRNA from 7 species